rnacentral:rRNA from 1 species
CAGCAGCCGCGGGAAUACGAAGGGUGCAAGCGUUAAUCGGAAUUACUGGGCGUAAAGCGUGCGCAGGCGGCUUUGUAAGUUAGAGGUGAAAGCCCGGAGCUCAACUCCGGAAUUGCCUUUAAGACUGCAGAGCUAGCAGGUGAGAGAGGUGAGUGGAAUUCCGAGUGUAGAGGUGAAAUUCGUAGAUAUUCGGAAGAACACCAGUGGCGAAGGCGGCUCACUGGCUCAUACUGGACGCUGAGGUGCGAAAGCGUGGGGAGCAAACAGGAUUAGAUACCCCAGUAGUCCCUGUCUCUUAUAC